rnacentral:rRNA from 1 species
UGGCGGCGUGCUUAACACAUGCAAGUCGAACGAGGGUUAUGAGGAGCUUGCUCCGAGGUGACCCGAGUGGCGGACGGGUGAGUAACGCGUGAGGAACCUGUCUUACACAGGGGGAUAACGCACCGAAAGGUGUGCUAAUACCGCAUAAGACCACGCUACCGCAUGGUAGAGGGUCAAAGGAGCGAUCCGGUGUAAGGUGGCCUCGCGUCCCAUUAGGCAGUUGGCGGGGUAACGGCCCACCAAACCGACGAUGGGUAGCCGACCUGAGAGGGUGAUCGGCCACAUUGGAACUGAGAGACGGUCCAAACUCCUACGGGAGGCAGCAGUGGGGAAUAUUGGGCGAAUGGGCGCAAGCCUCGACCCAGCAACGCCGCGUGAGGGAAGGAAGGUUUUCGGUAUUGUAAACCUCUGUCCUCAAUGAAAAGACAAGAGAUGGUAAUUGAGGAGGAAGCCCGGCUAACUACGUGCCAGCCGCUGC